UAGCUGAACUAUCCCUGUUAAUACAGCUUCAAAAAGAAAACUCAAUGUCAAAUACUGAAUGCGAUUCUUAUGAAUGUAACACGCCAAGUAAGGAAGUGGUAGACAUUGACCAGCUUCAAGUUCUUCAACGGUUGUUUGAUGACCUGACAAGAAAACUAGACGAUUCCUUACAAGAGGAAGUUUUACUACGACAAAAAGUUGAUUAGCUGGGAAAAGUAUUAGAUGACGAAAAGCUUAUUAACAAAAUUAGGAACAAUGACCAGAUGACUAAGUACUACACGGGAUUACACUCGUGGUGCCUAUUCGAAAUAAUCUUUGAACUUAUUCUACCAGGCAUAGAACAUUGCUCAAUGUUGUACAAAUAAAGUCUUUCUUACGAAGAGCAGUUUUUGUUGGUUUUGAUGCGAUUAAGACUUAACUUAGGGCAGCAAUAUCUAGCAUAUAGAUUUAAAAUAUCAGUAGGUACAGUGUGUAAAUAUAUCGGUAAAUGGAUUGAUGUAAUGUAUGACCGACUUUCAAAGAACUUCAUGGUGUGGCCUGACCCUCAAACUAACAAGCGCACAAUGCCAUCUUUUUUCAAAAGAAAGUUUCCAAACUGCAUAGCUAUUAUUGAUUGUUUUGAAAUUCCAAUUGAAAGACCAAAAAAUUUACUUGCGCGUUGUUCAACCUAUUCUCACUACAAAAGUCGUCCUACUGCGAAGUAUUUAAUAGCAAUUACACCGCGGGGAGCAAUUUCUUACAUUUCAAUGGGCUAUGGUGGACGACAGACUGAUGUUCACAUCACUUUAGACAAGAAAAAUGUUGCUCUAGGCAAUGACGAAGGUUUCAUAUGUAAGUUAGAGAAAGGUGAUGAAGUUUUAGCAGACAGGGGUUUUUUGGUUAAAAAUGCAGUAGAGAAAAGAGGGGCAAAGCUAACUACUCCAUCCUUUCUCUCUAACAAAGUCAGAUUGACUCGCCGUGAAACCGCAUUUUCACGAAAGGUGUCUAAUGUUCGUAUCCAUGUAGAGCGCGUGAUUGGUCGUCUUCGAGAAAAUUUCCAAAUUCUGACACAUCGAGUACAAAUUCAAUAUUUGCGAAGCGGUAAAAGCAAAUUUGCUUUCCUCGACAAAAUUGUGUUUGUUUGUUGUUGCUUGAACAAUGCCAACCCAAGUGUCGUUCCCCCUUGCUAAAGUGUAAUGUUUCUUGGUGGAAAUAAAGUAAAUAUAAGUCAA